UACGUAGGGUGCAAGCGUUAAUCGGAAUUACUGGGCGUAAAGCGUGCGCAGGCGGCGAUGUAAGUCAGAUGUGAAAUCCCCGGGCUCAACCUGGGAAUUGCAUUUGUGACUGCACGGCUAGAGUGUGUCAGAGGGGGGUAGAAUUCCACGUGUAGCAGUGAAAUGCGUAGAGAUGUGGAGGAACACCCAGGGGGAAACCAGCCGACUGGGCAUCUACUGACGCUGAGGUGCGAGAGCGUGGGGAGCGAACCGG
rnacentral:rRNA from 1 species